AGCCAUGCAUGUCUAAGUAUAAACGAUUUAAUCGUGAAACCGCGAAUGGCUCAUUAUAACAGCUAUAAUUUACUUGAUCUUGACACAAUCCUACUUGGAUAACUGUGGUAAUUCUAGAGCUAAUACAUGCAUUAAAGCUCUGACCUCACGGGAAGAGUGCAUUUAUUAGAACAAAACCAAUCGGCUUCGGCUGUUUCUGGUUGACUCAUAGUAACUGAGCUGAUCGCAUGGUCUUGCACCGGCGACGUGUCUUUCAAGUAUCUGCCGUAUCAACUUUCGAUGGUAGUGUAUCUGACUACCAUGGUGAUCACGCGUAACGGAGAAUAAGGGUUCGGCUCCGGAGAGUUCGCCUGAGAAAUCGCGAACACAUCUAAGGAAGGCAGCAGGCGCGAAAAUUACCCACUCUCAGCACGAGGAGGUAGUGACGAAAAAUAACGAGACCGUUCUCUUAUGAGGCCGGUCAUCGGAAUGGGUACAAUUUAAACCCUUAACGAGUAU
rnacentral:rRNA from 1 species